rnacentral:lncRNA from 1 species
AAGAGUGCGAAUUAUCGAAUAUGUCUUCUUAAUCAAUUGCUACUUUGCUACUCGUUCUAAACCCUCACUUCCGCGAAGGAAAACAAACCGAUCGCCGAUACGAUUCCAAUGCAUAUCCAACAGCUACAUCUCAAGGCCGAAGAACUACAAUCUCGACCUUCCAGGUAUUCUUCCGUGAAUCGAAAUCACAUAAAUUUUCGGAAGUAAAGUGUCCAUCAUUUACUUGAUCUGUUACACAACACAUCGAUCUACAUUGUUUGAGAUAAUUUCUUAUAAUUACAACAUAACAUUUUAUAUCUUAAUAUACUGCAAGUCAUUGUAAGCCACUAAUCUCGAUUUUGCUUUGAACCGAAAAAAUCAAUUUUUGGUCCUUAAUUCAUUUUGAUUCAUGGUUUAUAACUCCUAAAUCUCAUUGACCCUAUAAAUGUUACUUAUCGAUACCAAAUUCAACCACAGCAGGCAUGACAAACUCCAGUGAAGCUUGAUAUCUGUCACAGAGAAACUAGAGUCAGGUCUACCCAUGGGAAGUACUAUCUUACAGGUAAAUGUCAAUAUUCUGAUCAUCAAUUAAUUGACUAUUAUCUUUGCUGAAUUUUUUGAGAUUCAUUGGUCUUCUAGCAUCCUGAUAAAGGUAGUAGGGAGCAUACUAGGUAACUUUUUAGUUUAUUUUUAUAUGUGAAUAAAAAGUAAGCUGAAUAGAAGUCUAGAAUAUAUAACUUUUAGUGUCAAAUAUAUGCCAUUCAAGUAUUCAACCAUGUGGUAGUCAUUAUUGGAAUCUAAAAAAGCUGUUACUUCCCUUUUUGGAUGCUCCUCAAGUCCAUAUAGGCCAGUGAUGUUUUGUCAGUAGAUAUGUCGAUAUUGCACUUAUGGUGCAUACUGUCUCCUUGAUUCCAGCCCUAGAGUUUUAACUGGAGUUUCAUCAAAAUCAUAAUGAAAUUUCCUGCAGUAAAUAGUAAUCUACUAUUCAAUCAAAGACAUAAAGUUCAUAUAAAGGUUUCCAUUUCACCAACAUUAUGUGGUUCAACUUCUCAAUCAUUAUUACUAUAAAGAUUCCAAUUCCACCUAUUUUUUGUUCAAGUUUUUCUUUUUUUCAGUGACAACUUUUUAAAGAUAACACACUAAUUAAUAUGCAAAUGACUAUAGAAUUAUGAUCCUUUUGGAAUUUCGAAAAUAGUACCAGUGAUGAAGCUCAAUUGUCUAUCCAUAAACUCAUGAAACUUGAUUCCAAUCCUUGUUAACUUGUAUAAAUGACUGAAAUACCCUUUCGAAACCUAUUAUUAACACUGCACUAUGCUGGUUUCUUUGUUUUCUGUUGUUAAAUUUAUCUUUUUACCUAAAGAUAGUCUUAAUUCUUAAAGAAGUUUCAUGAACAAGAAAUUAAUAAAAGGAUAAUUUAAAUACUUUGAGAAGUACUUAAAAAAGCUUCUUGAUCGAGAAAUCAAUUACAUUCUAAAUCAUUUGAUAGAUUUAGAAGCCAAACAAAAAUCUACAAAGUAUGAAAAUUUCACUCUAGAUUGUGUUACAAAUGUCAUUCAAGUCAUGAUAUAAGUCAUUAGAAAAGAGUAAAGGGAAAGAUUCCAAGUGGAGAGGCAUUUUGGCAUUUAAUGAAAUAAAUUCCACUAUUUUCAUGAUAAUGCCAAGUCACCCUUGACAAUGAACUUUAUAAGUAUCUUAUAGUUGUUGAUAUAGUCCAAUAAUACAUUAUAUCAUCAUGAUUUUAUAAUUUGAUUGGAAGAACAAAUGUGGAAUCUAUUUUGAUCCCAUGUGAUUAUUAUACUUUCCCUUACUUCAUAGCUUUAAACAUAUUAAAAUUAGUUUUGAACUAUUUUAAGUAUGUUUUAUUGUGUAAAAACACUCCUACAAGCCUACAAUAACAUGAACAAUAUCCUAAUAAGAAAAAGAAUUAAAGAUUGGAGAUUUCUCAAAGUAAAAUGCUUUAAUAAGAAAAAAAAAAUUGAAAAUACAAUGUUGUAAUUGUGACUUUGACUUUGACUUUUGGAGUAAAAAGGCUAUAUUUAGCUUGUUGAUUGAUUUAUAUAUUUAUUUUACAAAUUUACAAAGAGUCAAAGAACUUAAUAACUACAUUACACAAUAUAAACAACACUAUGUCAGAAAGAAAAAGAUUUUCUUAUAACUUUAAGAUAAUUUACAUCAAUUUAGAAUCAAUUAAGUGGCUUUUUGACUUUAGUAUUCGAAUCAAUAACCACUUAAUCUCAAAGAAUGAACUUUGACUCUUCCAAGAAACUUUGUUGACCCGAAUUCCCAAUUUUCCACUUCUUGCAUCCCCAAAAAAGUAAAAAAAAAAAAGAAAAUCCAAGUCAACUCCCGUGAUAAUUCGAGUCAAUGAUAUGGAGGUCAUGAUUUCUUUUUUUGUUUUUUGUUUUUUCAUUUUAAAAUUCCUCCACUACCACACGUUGCUUUGAAAGGUCAUUUUCGACUUUUCAAAAUAAUUAUGAUUUAUAUUUUUGGUCAUAAGUCGAAUAUACCCUUUUGAAAAAUUCUGUGGCCAGGAGCAAGGAUUGCUAAUGGGUCAUAAGCCAUUUUCCUCCGUUGAAAAGUCUCCCAUGUUUGACCAAAGUGGGCCCUCCACUCAUCUUGUGUGUGAAAAUGUGGUAAAUAUUGUUUGACUCCUAAGUGGGCUUCUUUGCAGAAAUCCAAGAUUUUUUUAUUCUGACUCAGUAAGUGUUGUAGACUAUCUUUUCCUUUGGUGGAUAAAGGAUUUGCUUGUGAUAGAAAUGCCACUAAGUAGAAUAUAUCUUCAUCUGGUAUUACUGCUGAACUCCUGUUGUUCCAUCUAAAAAAAAAAGUUUACAUAAGUUUCACUUCACCCCCCUGUAGACUUUUUCCUUUGCAAAACUACCCCCUCCGCUUCACUAAAUGUUUUUUGUAAGGAAUUGAAUCUCUCAACUCGUGAAAUUAGUUUAGAAAAAUUAAUAGUUUUACAUUUUUAUUUAUUGUAAACCUCAAAUUUAUUUUUUUGACUGAAAAAGACCUUGUAUAUUUUUAUUUUUUCCGAAAAAACCCUCAACUUUGUAUUUUUCUUGAAAAAAACCCUCAACCUUCUAAAUGCUUCUAAAUAAACCUUCGGCUUUUUUGGUUUUUCUUGAAAAGACUCACGUUUUACAAUUUAUUUUGGAAAAAAAUGUCUAUAAGGGCCAAAUUGGAAAAAAAUAAAAAAAAUACAAGGUCUUUUUUAUAGGAAAAAAAUAAAUUUGAGGUUUAAUCCGGGAAAAACAUAAAAUGUAAGGUCUUUUAUGAGAUUAACCCUUUUAUCUAUUGUAAUUAUAUAUAACUGAAUUUUUGUUGUUAUUUAUUUCAGUAUAUAGUAUAGGGUUAAUCUUAUAAAAGACUUUAUAUUUUGUGUUUUUUCCGGAUUAAACCUCAAGUUUAUUUUAUUUUUUUCCUGAAAAAGACCUUAGAUUUUUUCAUUUUUUCCGAUCUAGUCCUUUUAGUCAUUUUUUUUUUCAAAAAGGUUGAGGGUUUUUGCGGGAAAAACUAAAAAUGUUGAGGGUUUAUUCGGAAACAGUUAGAAGGUUGAGGGUUUUUUUCGGAAAAAAAAAGACAAAGUUGAGGGUUUUUUCUGGAAAAAAUGAAAAAACACAAGGUCCUUUUCAGGAAAAAAAAAGACAAAGUUGAGGGUUUUUUUUUGGAAAAAAUGAAAAAACAUAAGGUCUUUUACGAGAUUAACCCUAUAUUACAAGGGUAUUCUUGUCUUUCAAUAAAAAAAAUUGAAUCUCACAUUCCAAUUCCUUCAUAUUCCGUUAAAAUACGUAAACAAAUGAUGAAUGUAAUGUAUAUAAUAACUAACAAUAAUAACCCAGUUCCAUGCAUUCAACAUUCAUCAUUGUGUAAUUUUAUAAAGUAGAGGGGUUGAUUUGCCAAUCUGAAAUAGUACAAGGGCUAAAAAAAUUUACUUUGAUUUGUUGACUGGGUAAACAAGGACAGGCCCAUUGCUUGUAUCUGCUAAAAUCUUCCCAAAAACUUCAUCACCAAAUCUCUGAAUUUUACUACUUGGAACAAGAAGAUUUAGCCAUGGAUGUGGAACAUCCCAUAACCCUUUCGCUUGUAGUUUUAUCUCUGCUGUAUGUACUCUAUCCAAAAACUCUAUAUACGUAACUUCAGUCAUAAAAACAGUUGAUGGAAUAUACCUCAACUCAGAUAACAUGCUCUCAAUUUCCUGUUAUCAAUUUAAAAUCACUAACACUUUAAUAAAUCAAAAAUCAAAACUGGUUUGUAUUUCGUUCACAUUUAUCUCACCUCAUAAAUCUCACCAGUGUUAUCUGAUGGAUUGAAGUAUUUCGCCAAUUCAAGGCAAAAAAGGGUUUUUCCUUCCGACUUAAAUUGACUUGCUUCAUCAUCAUCUUUUGGGUUAAAAGAUGAUCUCCAAUUAUUGAGAAGACCUGUUCUGUUUAUAAUUACAAGUCCUUCUAUGUAAUCGAAUGAUUUUUUUGCUGAUAUUAAUCGCUCUUGAUCUCGAGUAAAUGUCGAAAAAUCUGAAUACAACACUCUGAUCCAUUUCACCUGUUUAUAUUGGAUUCAAUUAUUAGGUUAAAAAAAUUAGUUUCUAAAUCAAACCACAAAAUUGCUCAAAUAUAAUUCAAAUAUUCGGUAAACUUUUAGAUUUUGAAAAUUUCAAGGCGAAUUUAAAAUAAAAAAUUAAAAAAAAAAAACGUAACGUACUUUUGCGGUUUAACCACUUUUACUUUAUUUUUUCUGAUUAAACCAUACAAAAGUUUCCAACGUUUUUCCAAAUUAAUCAUUUUGACCAAAUAUAGGUCUCACUAUAAUUAACAAAAAGUAACCAUUUUGACCUGUUAUAUCAUAUAUGACUAUAUCAAGUCAAAACAGUUAUGUACGAAACCUUUAUCAUCAAUUAAAAAAAAAAAACUAUGUAUAAAUCCUUAAACCACAAACCCCCCCUUUUUUAUUUUCCCAUUUUUUUUAAUUACAUCAAAAAAUAAACAAAUUACCAUUUCCGCUGCCGGUUCAAGUAAAAUCCUUGCCCGUGUAAUUAUCCCAAACUGCCCAAGCCCUCCAAGAACACCAUUAAAAAGAUCCGCAUUCUUUUCUUCUGAACACGUCACCACCUCUCCCUUUCCUUCAUCAUAUUACAUAAUUACUCAUUACAUUUUCUAAUUUUUAUAACAAAAAAAAAAUUAUUUUUAUAUUUUAUACAAACCUGUAACAACUUCAAGUUGUUGGACAUUACUAAUCUGAGGACCAUGCCGAAACGCCUGACCACUAAUCCCCGCAUUCGACAACGUCCCUCCAACCGUCAAAUGCAAAUAAUCAGUCCAAGAUUUUGGCGCGAAUCCAAACUUCAAACUCUCCUUCAAAAUAUUAAUCCACAACUCCCCUCCCGAAACAUCAACAUAUCCAAAAUCAAAACCAAAUUCAAAUUCCAUUUUCGGUUUCUUCAACGACUCCAUAUUCACCACAAUCCCUCUGUGCGCCUGAGCCUGACCCUGAAUCGAGUGUCCGUGCCCCCUGGCUGCAACCGUGAGCCCAGACCCAACCCCGAGGUCCCACACAUGGCUCACGGUUGCAGAUAUGUCAGACACUGACUCAGGGUGCAGGACUGCAAAAGGAAGGAAUUGAAAUUGGUUUCCGUAAUCUUUCGCCGCGAAUUCGUUGUCGGUGAAAGUGAAAUGCCCGUCGAUACGUAAAUCCGGGAGUGAAAAUUGGGUGUUGGAAAAACAGAGGUUUAGUUGGAUUGCUAAGAAACUUAGCAACAUGAUUGUGAAACUAAUGCUUCUUAUGAAGAAUGAUAAAGAUCUCAUUCUUUUUUUUUUUCUGGCUAGAAAUAAAGAAAAGAGGAGGGGAUUUAAAGAGAUUUGAUAAGGAUCCGUGUGUAGACUGUCUCCUUUAAAAGUUUCUGACUCCCAAGGGGGUGCCUUUUUAGCUUCCUUUUUCAUGGAAAAAGUCACAAGAAAAAAGAAAGAUUUUGCAAUCUUUGCACUUAUUUGGUUACAGUUACAACCAUAUUUUUAACUUCCUUUUUACUAUCUAUUUGCCAAUUUUUAGGAAAAAGAUACAUUCUUACAUAGUUACAGGUGUCUAAAGAUUAGUCGCGGUUUAGUUUUAGUUUUGAUUUGCUGGAAUUAAAAUGGCAGUGUGGGGUCCACGAAAUCAUGCGAAUUUCAAUAAAGUUUUUGGGACCUCUUUCAACCAAUGGUGUAUGGACAAUUGAAGUGAUGACAGGUCAUUAGAAGACAUAGAUAUCUGUUGCCCAUAAUCACCCAUAUGCUUUAGUUUUAAUCCAAGUAAGAAAGUUACAUCCUUUUUUAGCAUCUUACUUUUAUAUAUUUUAACAUGCUUCAAUUUACUUGUAUAAAAUAUUGCUAUUUUACUUUUCAUAAUACAAUACAUUUUUUGGUUCUUAAGUAUAGUUGAGUUCGAAAAUUUGGUCCCAAAAAGUUUUCUCUUGCAAUUAUGGUCACAAAAAGAUAGUAGUUUUACCUUGAACAGGGACCAAAAAUGUUACAAGAACCUCAAAUAAGCACCAAAAUGUCAAAAAGAAAAGUUUUAUGGACUAAAAUUGAAAAAAACUCAAUUAUAAAAAAUGUUAUUACUAUGUUUUCUUAUUAAAUGGGUGAAGUGUUUAAUGUUCAAUGCUUAAGAGAAAUGAAAGCAAGAAGCUAUAAAAUUUAAGAAAGUACGUUGCUAUUCCUUGGCUUUAAUUCAUUUAAAAUUGUAAAAAUAAAAUGGUGAAGUUUGGGGUGUAGUGCUUUGAAUGAUGUUGUGACAUAUAUGUGUUUUUUUAUGGAAUAUUUAAUGCUCAAAGUUGUCCAUUGGAUGCUAAGAUCCAUAUCUUGUCCCUCCUUACCACAACACACUUGACCCUUUUUCCUUUGUGGGCUAUGUUGUGUGAAAUCUCAACCAUCAAACCCUACUCCCAUUUUGUGGUCCAAAACCUAAUUUGACCUAAUUCUCUACAUACUCACCGACCAUUGACAAAAUCAAAACAAAAAUAAAUAAAUAUCUGCAGUCUGCAAUGUGAGAGUUUCAGUUCCAAUUAAUUCGCCUCCUUACAGACACUAGGGGGUUACUGUGUACCUGAUUGUAAACCGAAGAAUAAUUUUUUUGUGGAAUUUAGGAUGAUGUGAUGAAUGUACAAGUGUUGAUGCAUAGGGUACAAGUGGAGUAGUGAGGAGUAAGGACAUAUCUUUGUGAAUGAUAAGGGGGACAAGUGGGGUGAGAUUGUAUGCCACUAUGAAAGAUGAGAUUGGCUAGGUGCCCACUAAUGGGGUCCUCUAGAAGUUGGUGAUAAUAACCAUUAACCAUAGAUGCUAAAGAAAAAGAGUUGGUAGGAUUUAGACUGAUUUAGGAUUUUGCUAAUUAAGAUUACUAGUAAUCAUGGAUGUUUUAUCUAAUCAUGUUACAUGUCUAACUUUCAAUUCAUUCUACUUGAUGUUGUUUUGUCUGAUUCACACUCCAUCAAAAUCUAAUUUGAUUUUGAUAUCAUCUCUCCAUUCAUGUCUCACAUAUCACACAUUGUACUUGGACACAAAAAUAAAUCCAUCUCUACCAAAUCUUCACUUGUCUGUAACAGUCUAUUUAUUUCGUUAUUCCUAUUGUUACAACUUAUUCAUAAAUAAUGUUGAUUUUGACUAAUAAAGUUAUAGGGUAUUAUUUUAAGAUGAUUUUGUUGCUAAUAAUAUAACUGUUGGUUAUCUCAUGUUUAUCUAGAAAUUAUUUUCUUAACUCAUAAACUUUCUUUUCGUAAUUAUUACUUUAUUUUAAUGCAUGUGUAUGUCGUGCAAAUGAUGAAAGAUACCAUCCAUAUUCAACGGUGGCUUUUAUUACCACCGUUUAUUCAUUAACAUCAUUUUUCUUAUUCCCUUAGACCAGACAUAUUCCAACUAGAUCCUCAUCGACCCACAUACAUAUAUAAACACAUACAAAACCAUUAAAAAAUAUAUUUUGUGAUGUUAGUAUAAAAAUAAAGAAUUGAAUUAUUAGUAUAUAACUAUAUAUACAAAUUUUGGUUUAGCUUAAUUAUAUUUGAAAAUGUAACUGAUACCCGAAUCCAAUUGCAUUUUGAGUUGGCCAGUUAUUUAUACGGAUACCCUAAUUACAUAAUUAAGAAAAAUAAUAAUUACAUAACUAAGAAAAAAAGAAGCAACCAAGACACUUUAGCAAAGAAACGUGGGGACUAGAAAGAAGAAGAAAGAGUAAGUGGACAUAUAAAAUGAAUAAAAAAUGGCAACCAAUUUGAUUAAUAGAAGCUUAUGUUUAUAGUCAACAUAUGCCAUCAAAUAGAAACGAAAAUUUUUUAAUAUAUCAACUUGUUUUGUACUUGAAAGAUGUAUGAAAUGAAGCCUUGAAAAGUGAAAACUAUAGUGAAAACCACGAAAUCCCUUAAAAAUGCUAAAAAAAAAACGAAAAUUCUAUAAUUUAUCAUGGAUGCCCACUAAAACUAUUAAAAUGAUAUAAGAAACAUAAUUAAAAUUUUAUAGAAGUUGGUGAUUGGUGAAUGAAAACNNNNAUAUAUAUAUAUAUAUAUAUAUUUUGAAAAAAAAUAUCGGUAUGGAUGUAAAAUUAAUGAAUUUUGAUAUAUGAUAUUACUCUUUUUAUAUAAUGAAAUGUUGAAAGUUAUGUGAUCGAAAUUUGUUCUUGUUUUCUAAGCUUUUUUUUUUUUUUUUUCUCGUUUAAACCUUUUCCGGAAAUAUGCGGGUAGAUGAUGAGAGAGAACCA